UGAGUCAUUCCUGUGGCUCAGAUUCAUGAUUCUAAACCAGCCUUACAUGAAGGUGACUUUGUAAUAGGUUGGGGAUAGACAGAAAAGUAAAGAGGAAAAAAGGUGGAAAAUACAGGUUUUGAAAUUAAUCAGGGAUUUAUUUAAAAGGACAAGCUACUGUUACGUCACUGAUUAUGGCAAUAGAAAACAACAUCAUAUUUUUUAACAUGGGGCAAAUUCAGUAUUUUAAAAUAAAUCCUGUAGGAAUAAAAUAUCACUUAGACUCCUCAGAGGUGGGAUUAUUACUUUCCUUCUGGCAUGGGUGAAAGUCAUGGGAAUGUUUAUUUCCCUAAAUUUUUUUUGCUUGCCUUCUUUCCUCUUUCAGAUAACAGGACAGUCUGACUUAUCAGCAUAGAAAAUAUUUCUGUCAGCAUUCGGAGAACGUGGGGGUGUCCUAUGGCCAACCACAUUUGGAAAAACUACCCAUUUAUGCCCGUUAUUGGAGAUUCAUAAGACUUUGUAGUUUUUCCAAGCCCGGUAUAAUGACUAUUAAUGCUCCCUGGAGAACACACUUAGAGAUAUACUUCAUUAUUACAAAGUUGUGAUUUGUCUGCUGGUGUGAAUUUCAGAUACCGCGGUGGCACCUUGAGGGAAGUAUAAAGCUGAACCAAACACUAAAAUGGAAAUGAAGAUAGAGGUUCUCUUAAACAACAAAUACUGAAGAUGUAUGCUUAUAGCCAACUUUCCUCCUUACAUUUUCUUUAAAAAUAAAUGAUGUAAAAUUACCAUACAGCAGUGAAAAAGAAUAAAAUACACAUCACGUUGGUUACAUCUCGGGAAAUAAUACUGAGUGAAAAAAAAAUCAAGUUUCAGAAGAAUUCAGCAAUUCCAUUUAUAUCAACUCAACACAUUCAAGACUAAACUAUGCAUUGUUUGAAGAUAUCAACAUAUAUGCCAGACUACAAAGCAAAACAAGGGGAUGAUAAACCAAAAUUCAGAGUAGCGGUUUUCUCCAGGGAGAAGCCCCACAACAUUAUGGAGCGGCACAUAGGCCCCCUCAAAGGGGUGGGCGUGGGGGGGGGCACUCUAUUCCUUAUCCUGGGUGGUGGUUUCAUGGUCCUCAAUUUUAGUGUAAUUCAUCAUGCCUUAUACACAUGUCACAAUUAUUCCUUUGUAGCCAAUCAGUUUUUCAUGAAAACAAU